AGCGAACGUUAGCGGCGGGCCUAACACAUGCAAGUCGAGCGAGAAAGAGGCUUCGGCCUUGAGUAAAGCGGCGGACGGGUGAGUAACACGUAGGUAAUCUUCCCUUGAGCGGGGGACAACAAGCCGAAAGGCUUUCUAAUACCGCAUAAGUUCAUCGGGACUCCGGGCCUGGUGAGGAAAGCUAGGUAGCAAUAUCCGGCACUCGAGGCGGAGCCUGCGUAGCACCAGCUAGUUGGGGGGGUAAUGGCCUACCAAGGCGAAGACGCUUAGCUUGUCUGAGAGGAUGAUCAGCCACACUGAAACUGAGACACGGUUCAGACUCCUACGGGAGGCAGCAGUGGGGAAUAUUGGACAAUGGGCGCAAGCCUGAUCCAGCCACACCGCGUGAGUGAUGAAGGCCUUCGGGUCGUAAAGCUCUGUGGGGAGGGACGAACCGCCGGAUGUGCAUAGCAUCCGGCAUGACGGUACCUCCUUAGCAAGCACCGGCUAACUUCGUGCCAGCAGCCGCCGUAACAC
rnacentral:rRNA from 1 species